UCCUUCCUUUCAUGGAUACGUUAAUAAGUGGGACGGUAAGCUCUUUCUGCUGUUACAGCUCUUGUUCUGUUUCUCUGUCUUUAGAACGUGCUACGCUGCCUUGAAAACAGCUUCCUGCUCUGCCCAGGUGACCCUACAGUUGCCACCUUCUUAUGAUAGAGCCAUCAUUGUUUAAUUACUUCCCCAAAGGCUUACCUUUAAGGUCUUCUGUCACCUUGGUAUGAAUCCUACACUAAGAAAGUUUGCAUGCCAAGCGUCAGGUGUGCUGCUGACGUAUGAUUGCAAUGGCUGCUUUAAUUCUGCCGCCUGCUGAUUCUACCUGAAGAAUGUCCAGAGAGUCGCUGGAGUACAACAUGGCUGUACCAUACUGUGUUCAUACCAACCUUCAGCAUUGCAUGCCAAGGGACACUUCACAAGGGACCAGCUCACUUGUGUUGGACCUGGGAUGUGUCAGAGUCAAGCAGCUACAUUUGCAGGCCUUCAGUUUCAUCUCUGCCAUGAAAGGUCACCUGCUCUCAGUCUACCUGCUCUCCACUCUCACCCCUGUUAGGCUGUAUCUCACAAGAGAUUAUCAAAUAAAUACCACGGUUAAAAAAUUACCAAAAAAAGUCAUAUGCAUGGUCCACCUAGGCACUUUGUAUAAUUCUCCACUAGCAUAUGCUGAAAAACAAUUGAAAAAGGAAGUUGAGAAACAUAGUUUUCAAAGGUAUGCGGGCUUUGCGUUUUGGUGUGCAUCGAUAAAUUUAAAUGGCGGCAUUUCCCACUGUGCUCGGAAAUGGCAAUAAACAAGAAGGAUAAUGGGAGCAUAAACUUGCACAAAUGUUCAUUAGAGCAAACAAUGCCCCUUGUGAUUCUGGGACUGUACGGAUGCACGCUAUUAUCUCUUCCCAGUGCAAGCGCAAAUACAGACCACGAGAGCUAACGAGCUGCGGUGUCGUCUGAAUUUCCAUGGACUGUAUUUACAGCUUCAGAGCCUUACUGAAUGGUGCCAAACAGACUUAUUAAUAAUAGCGCUAGUGACACUUCAUUGGAUAAUCCUCUCUGUUUUCGUUGAUCUUAAUGAGGUAGUUUGGGGUGGUAACCUGCAAUGGAAAACUUGGGAGCAGGUGGCAGCAGGACCCGAGUUGCCUCUUGAACUGAAAGGUAGCUAACAUCUAAAACAAUGCUUUGUUACCCAACAGCUACCCAGCACUACUUUUACUCUAAAAACAGGCAAAAGAUAAAUUUCAAAAACCUAAGACUUCAUCACCUUUUAAAGCUCUUCUGUAUGGAUGAAUGGACAGUAAGGACAGAUUUGUUGAAAUUUUGUGGCCUGUUCCCACAUGUCUGCAUUUCCCAAUGACACUUUCUUUAUGGAAAAGAGUGUACUAGGCAUAACACAUUUGUUUUUCCAUGA
rnacentral:sRNA from 1 species